rnacentral:sRNA from 1 species
UGCGUCACAGUAGAGUAGAUGUCUCUGUAUUAGUGCCAAAAUUAAUCACACAGUCGAACACACGAACCCUCGUAAGGCUCUAUCUCUGUCUAAUAUGUUCCGUUAAAGCUAGAGCCAUAGCAUGAUACACACAAAUGCACGCUCUCUUUUCGGCUCAUAACAAAACAGCAAACUUCGUUCUUCUCCCUCUCCUCCUACAUGACGUCACUGCGUGCUCAUUAAUGCGUAGGGUAAGACCCGAAAGCGAGUUGGUAGCUGCUCACUCCCACUUGCAGCUCUCCUUCGAUCACCCUCGGCAUGCGAAGAUGGAGAACAGAAUAAGAAUGCAAAAUUCCGCCACCGACGCUUCUGUCGCGCUCUCCCUCUCGCAUAUUCAGUUUUUCGUCCGGUCCAAGCACGCGUUUUCGAGUCGGCUCUGCGUUGCGGUCACUGAAAAGCCGAAAAAUAGUGAAAAAUCCUACUGAAAAACUGCCGCGCGCUGUAUAGAAGCGAAUAAACAGUAAAUUUGUCGCAAAGGUCAAGUAAAAGCAAUGUUAUUGCGCGUUAAUUAAUUUUUUUCAUGUGCGAAAUGUGGUUGUUGGCAAUGUAGCCAAGAUCUUCCGUUGUGUUGUUGUGUGCGUGCGUGAAAAUGAAGCAAAAAAGAGCAAAGUUUUUUUCUCUUUCCCACCAAAGGCGCAAGGAAGCAGAAUAAAGCAACGAGCGCUCAAUAGUAGAAGGUAAAAGGAAUUCCGAAUCUCUCUGGCGCUUGCUUUGUGCAUUCAAAGUAGAAUUCCAGGCACAGUUCCGAGUGCAUAUGCGUGCGUGUGCCGGGUUAAGAGCCCAGCGCAUGUACAGUGGAGCCUCGCGUUCCAGAGGCGCGCUGUAAGAGGGAGACAGAGGGAUAGUAACGGAACCUGCCUCACGUUGAACGGCACAGAUCUAGGCAGAGCAACGCGAGGCAGAGAAGCGUCACUGACCUAACACACACGUGAGGCAGGCACAGGCCGUAGCGGUGGCGGCGGCGGCGGCAGCGGCAGCGGCGUCACAAAAAUAGCACGAAAAGGAGCCCCCGCAGCGGAAAUUUCCCUCUCGGCAGAAACGACGCCAAGAGUGAGACGAUGACAGCGCCGACGAAGACGUCGACAACGAAGACAAGGAAGACGAAGGCGCGCCGCUGGAGCCGACCGGCCGAAUGGAUGAUGUUGCGGCAACAAGCACCCAGCAGCCAGCCAUUCGUGGCCCGAGCGAAGCACUCGUAUGGCCUCGUGCCCGAUGCACGAGAUGCGUCCCAGUGCCGACUGCCGCGGCGGGCACCCAGCUUCCAGCGACUGCUUCUGGUUCUGGUUCUAGUUCUGGUUCUGGUUCAGUCUUUUCGCGACUUUCAUCUGCUCCGGUCCGGUCCACAGGCGACAGCGAGGCGACGGCCGAACGCAACGCGCCAAAAGGGCGAGAACUUUGUCGAGAUUUUUUCGCGGAGAGAGUGCCAAUAAAUAAUAUUUCCCCAAAAAUCCCAUCCAUUUCUAGUUUUGGUUUUUUUUUGCGUAAAAUAAUCGUGCAAGCGUGUACCACCCGUGUGGGUCUGUUUUUUUAUGCGGUUUUUUUUUGUUUUAUAAUCGCGAUUUGCGUGUGAAAAACAGUGGAAAACGUCGAGAUUUUAGAGUUGCUUAAAACUAGGGAAAUUGUAGAAGGAACUUGGCGAGGAGAAGAGACAAAUCGUAGGAGAAGGGAGAGAAAUUAGUGAAAUGCUGAGAGGAACAGACUGCUGAAAGCAGUACGAAUCCAAGAAGAAUCAAACUUAACCCCAGAGCUUAAAGCAGUGCAAACAACUCGUAGAUAAGAUCACAGCAGAAAGCAGUGCGGACCGUAGAUCAAAACAUAAACGCAAGCAGUGCACAGCAUAGAUCCAAACUGAGCUGCAAGCAGUGUAAAUCGUUGAUAGCAAACAUUGCAGAAAGCAGUGCAAAAACAAACAUCAUAAAACCGUGCAAAUCCGAAGAAAAUCGCCAGACGCCCAGAGGGAAAACCCCCAAAAAUCAGUGCACGCGAGGCAGCCUCCAAAACACGUGCCUCGCCGCCCGCCACACGUUCGUCUCCCGGAGUGUCCGAGCCAGAGGAAGAGCCCGAAACGAGUGUCUGAGGUAAUUGAAUAAACGA